CACGAGACAAACAACACAAACCCUACAACUUCCAUCUCUCUCUCACGCAGCCACAUCCACAGUCCCACUCCACUUGCAGCGGUGCCGUAUCACCAAAUCACCGACAUCAGCCUGUCGUCGAUUGUCCAUAGUAGGAAGCUGGGGUUAGUAAAGUGCAAUCUAUAUUCUUCUUCACGUUUUAGUACAUUAAUAUUUUCCUUGGGGGUAUUGUUCAUUUAUACUUCAUUUGUUCUUUUAUCUUUUUCUCUAAAUUUAAGUGACCUUUGAUGUUCUAAUCACUGAUGGUCGUCUUUUCUUUUUAAAGUUCUCGUGGCCUCCUUUUGUUAUGGACUCUAUUAUCCUAAUAAUGAAGCACCUGAUAUGAGUUGAGAUGGCUAUGAUUAUGUGUUUUUCUGUUUUUACACCUCUUUAAAUUGUACAUGCUUUUUUUUUUGGGGUUCUGGUCACAAGGAAAUCAAGGAAAUAUUCGCUGUUUCUACGAGCAGCUGGUCCCUUACUACUGUUGUUUUGGGCACAAACUUUAUGACAAUUUAUCAUACAUCUUCAAUCACAUUGGUGAGAAUAAUUUGGAUUGAAUAGAGUCAUGGUGAACACUGAACAGGUAUGUUUCUUGGUCUUUUAUUUUGAUAAGUUACAGUUUUCUCAAGCUCAAUGUUGUUAAGCUUGGUACACUUACUGUUGAUUUGUUUUUGUUUGGGAUCUUUGGCUUUUGCUCUUGAUUGCAGGGUGUCUUAUUUACCCGUUUAUUUUGUGAGUGGUUGAAAAACUAAUAAAAACAUAAUAACUUUAUAUUAGUUAGUGAAAGUUAACACUGAAAAACUAUUUCCACGAUCAAUAUCCACAAGUCAAAAAUAUGACAAAAAAUAUAGACAUGGCUUUAUAAUAAAAUGAAAGCACGUCUCUAUGAAUAUAACACAUGAUGCAAACCAAGCCUAAGAAAUAUCCCUACAUACGUACUUGCAGGCGCCCUCAAUGACUAAAUUGGGGUGUUGAACCUAUAAAUGAAUGGAAGCCUUCAGAAUUUACAGCAAAGAAGACCCAAUCUCCAACUCCUGCUACUUCUAAAAUGUCUCCUG
rnacentral:lncRNA from 1 species